GACGUAGGGCGCGAGCGUUGUCCGGAUUUAUUGGGCGUAAAGAGCUCGUAGGCGGCUUGUCGCGUCGACUGUGAAAACCCGCGGCUCAACUGUGGGCGGCAGUCGAUACGGGCAGGCUAGAGUUCGGUAGGGGAGACUGGAAUUCCUGGAUGUAGCGGUGAAAUGCGCAGAUAUCAGGAGGAACACCGGUGGCGAAGGCGGGUCUCUGGGCCGAUACUGACGCUGAGGAGCGAAAAGCGUGGGGAGCGAACAGG
rnacentral:rRNA from 1 species